rnacentral:RNase_P_RNA from 1 species
UCGCUGUGUCAGACGGCCGCGCGGUAUGGCGCCGAAAGGUAUUACCGUGAGGAAAGUCCGGGCAUCACAGGGCAGGAUAACGGAUAACGUCCGCCGAGGGUGACCUCCGGGAAAGUGCAACAGAAAUAUACCGCCUCAGGUUCCGAAUUAUCGCUUAGCGUUAUUCGAAGCGAACCGAGGGGUCCUCAAAUUACGCGUAAGCGUGAUUUGGGGUUCCUGGGGGGGUCCUCGGUUUGCUUUGCAAACCGGGGUUCUCCCGGGGCAAGGGUGGAAAGGCGAGGUAAGAGCUCACCGGCACAGGUGGCAACAUCGUGCAAAUGUAAACCCUAUCCGAUGCAACACCGGGUGAAAGAAGGGCUGCCCGUCCGCUCCGCAAGGAGAUUUCCGAGGUGGCAAAGAGCCGUGCGGCAACGCACGCGCCAAGACAGAUGGUCGUCAAAGACAGAACCCGGCUUACGACACGGCCGACGG